rnacentral:lncRNA from 1 species
GAAUGCUCUGGAUUUUAAAACCUCUAAUAUAAUAUUUAAAAUUAAAUGGAUGCAAAACUAUUUAAGAAAUAAGGAUUGCAUCUGGAAUAUCAUCCCAAAUUUAAUAUUCCAACAAAUUGGUGGUCUAGAAUUCUUACUCAAAUGCAACUUUGAUGUGGGUAAAAUCCCUAUUAAGCUUGCAAACUUUCAUAAACAAGUACUUCUAACUUGGAACCUCAUGUACAAACACCAUUUUUCCCCUAAUAGGUAUACAAUCUGGAAUAAUAAAGACAUAAAAUACAAAAACAAGUCUUGGUUUUUCCAGAACUGGUUUGACAAUAACAUUAUUUGGGUUAAACAAUUACUGAACAAUGAUGGACAACUAUAUGAUUAUCCAGAAUGUAUUAGAACACACAAUGUUACAUUCACUCCUGAGGAGUAUCACAUUGUUGUUAGAGCUGUCCCUAAAGGUGCUAUUCUUCUUUUAGGAGGAUAUAACAAUACUCCAAGUGCAACUGUUGAGGAUUUUGUAGCCUCAAUACAAUUAGAAGGAAUUGACAUUUUAAACUAAUAAUGUAAUAACAUAUAUAUAAGGAAACUAUGUCAAUAUGUUACUAUUCCCUCUGCUAAAAUGUACUGGACUGCAGCCCUAGGAUAAGUGAACUGGAACAAAGUUUUGUUGUUAUCUGGUAAAUAUUGUAUAUCUAAUAAGGUGAAAGAAGUAUCAUACAAACUCAUUCAUAGAAUCUACCCUGUAAAGACCUUUAUUAUACAUAGAUUCAAAAUAGCUAUUGAUAACAAAUGUGUAUUUUGUGAUUGUGACCCAGAUACUCUUGACGAUUUAUUUUGGGACUGCUCUUAUGUCAGAAGAUUUUGGUGUGAGUUAGAAUAUUUUAUUUUAAAAGAAACAACUAUUAAUGUUAAUUUGAAAGACUCUGAUAUUAUGUUUUUUUUUUACCAAAUUAUAUGGACCCUGAUUUAACUUUUAUUGUUCAUUUGUUUAUCUUUCAUGGAAGAUUCUUUAUCCAUAAAAUGAAGUGGGCAGAGAACAAACCCCUUUUCACAUUAUUUAAGAUAGAAUUGAAAUAUUAUUUUCAAAUUAUCAGUAAAUUUAAAACCAAAAAAGCAAUACGCACCAUAAAAGUAUUUAACAAAUUGAAAAUGAAUCUUGAUAUGUAAUACCCCUGUCUGUUAGGUUCAUGUACACUUGUUUGUAUAUUUCAGUUUUUUUGUAUUUGUUGUGUACAUAAUAAAAAUGUAUAAAUGUUUUUUUAUAAAUAAAUAAAUAGAAUAAAAACUUCUGUUGUUCAGAGGUAAAAUGAGCUACCUAGUUAACAAGGGCAGCCCAAUGUCUCUAAAAUUGUAAAUGUACCAUCUCUGAUUGCACCAGACUGCUGCUCACGGACAGAAGAGAUGGACUUCAACCAUCAAUAGCCAGGCUAGAGACCAUGUUGUGGAGCCUUCGGUGGACAAGCGGUCAUUUGAUUGAUGAAGAGAUGGCCAGCAAUCUAAUUGCUGUUGCAGAGGAGUUCCUACAAGAGGCAAAUGACAUCCAACAACGGGAACCUUACGAAAAUGGCAAGUUGUUAUAUUAUAUUAUAUUAUAUUAUAUUAUAUUGUAUCAUUUCUUUUGUACAGCAUGUGUGGCAAAGGCUGAGAUUGUAUCCUUUUACAUGUCCUGUGUUAAGUCUCCUGUGUCAAGUCAAUCAAUGAAAAAAACAUUUGGUUGGCCUAUAAUUCUGUUUUUAAAUUCUAUAUGGUGAUCUUAUAGUCUUUUAACCUAAAGUUUUUAGGAGUGUAUUUUGUUAUUAUCUAUUGUAUUUUUUAUUUCAGUAUCCUAUCAAGCGCCUUUGGAGGGAAGGCGGUAUCACAUCACCAAGGAGCAGCUUGAGUUCCUCAUAGAUUGUCAUAUGAUGUAACGCCCUGGCCAUAGAGAGGGGUUUUUUGUUCUUUAUUUUGGUUAGGCCAGGGUGUUACAUUGGGUGGGCGUUCUAUGUUCUGUUUCUAUGUGUUUGUAUUUCUUUGUUUUGGGCUGUGUGUGGCUCCCAAAUCAGGCACAGCUGAAGUUCGUUGCUGUUGAUUGGGAGUCACACAUAAGUGCAUGUUUUUCCGUUGGGGUUUUGUGGGUAAUUGUUUCUGUUCGUGUUACUGUGUUUAACGUGACAGGACUGUUUUGGUUGUCUGUUUAUUGUUUUGUUUUGUAUUGUAUAGUGUCCGUUUUCUCAAUUAAAUAUGACGAACACUAACUCCGCUGCGUUUUGGUCCGCUCUCUCUAAAGGCAACCGUUACAUAUGACCAUCAGACAAAUGGCAGAUGUUCUCAAUGUGUAGCACUCUGUGGUCUAGCGGCGCAUGAGGUGGAUGAUUGUUAUCCAUAGUGCUGUGGAUGGUUACAGCAGACUUGUUGUGUUUCUGAAGGCCUCUGACAACAACAGGACUGCCACAGUCAUGGAGUCAUUCGAAGCAGCCAUCACCAGCUACGGAGUACCAUCCCGGGUGAGAUGUGACCGGGUGGUGAAAACAACCGCAUCUGUGCCUUCAUGGAGCAGUUCAGGGGUGGUGAGAGGGGAAGUGCCCUCAGAGGAAGGAGCACUCACAACCAGAGGAUAGAGUGGCUGUGGGGGACGUCUGGCAUGGAGUCUCCAACGUUUACCAUGACCUGUUCACCUUCUUGGACGGAGCAGAUCAUCGACAUCAACAAUGAGGUGCACCUGUGGACACUGCACUUUGUGUUCCUGCCACGGGUGAACAGAGAUCUUGCUGUGUUUGCCAGUCAGUGGAACCACCAUGGGCUGAGGACUGAACAACGGCAGUCACCUCUGCAGUUGUUCGUCUCGGGUUCCCUGGCAAUGCAGAGGGCCAAUCUGACAGCAACCCAAACGGCGUUCCAUACAGUGAACCCAGCGGAGAGACGGGAGCUGCGGCAGAACGAAAAGAAGAGGGAGGGUCUCCUCAGCCCAGCAGAGAAGUGGUCUCAGCUCCAGAAAGGCACCCACCACAGAGAGAGAAUGGAGGAUGAGGCCUGAUGAUCGGAGGAUCUCCUCCCUCUGCACAGUGAUGCUAGCUGCUGAGAGAAUCCCCUCCCUCUGUGAAGGGACACUGGCUGUUUGGAGGAUUCCCUCCCUCUGUGAAGGUACACUGGCUGUUUGGAGGAUACCCUCCCUCUGUGACAGGAUGAGGCCUGAUGCUUGGACGAUCUCCUCCCUCUGCACAGCAACUUCGGCUGCUGUGAUGAUCUGCAGGUAUGAUAUAGCGCAUAUAGUCAUUCCCUAAAACGCAAUAGGAAGGUUUUCUUAAUGUUUUGUUCACUCAGUGUAGAUCAAUCCCUAGCAUAUACAUUCAUUUGUAUGUGUACUGAUGAUGUAAAUACCCAAAUUAUAUUAAUGUUAUCUACAAUAUAUUAUAAUACCGUAAGCCUUCCUGCUGCAUGGGCAUUUCCUCCUACAAUUUUGAGCUGAUUUUCUUCACUUUACCAAUAUUUUGUAACUUUGUUAAUUUUCACAUUUAUUGUGUUUGGAAUGGCACUGUUACUACAGCAUUUGAUGUAAGUAUGUCGGACAAUUAAUUGAAAUCAUCAUUCCAUAACGACUUAGCGAGUCAGAAAUGUCAGAAUUUCCUAGUUCCGACUUGAAGGGCCUUCAAUGAUGUAGGGCAGGUCAGUAAUCAAAUUAUUUUACUGUGCCCAGUCGCACACAGACUUUUAUGAUCACACGAGUUGCCACCGGUGGAUUCAAAAUGAGUAGCCUAACAAUUAUUUACAUGGCCCCAGGUACAUUCGCAAACAAAUUAUUUUUCUGUGAGAAAUCAAUAAUAGUUGCA